GACGAACGCUGGCGGCGUGCUUAACACAUGCAAGUCGAACGGUGAACUCGAGAGCUUGCUCUUGAGGGAUCAGUGGCGAACGGGUGAGUAACACGUGAGUAACCUGCCCCAGACUCUGGAAUAACACCUGGAAACAGGUGCUAAUACCGGAUACGACACGAACAGGCAUCUGUAUCGUGUGGAAAGUUUUUCGGUCUGGGAUGGACUCGCGGCCUAUCAGCUAGUUGGUGAGGUAACGGCUCACCAAGGCGACGACGGGUAGCCGGCCUGAGAGGGCGACCGGCCACACUGGGACUGAGACACGGCCCAGACUCCUACGGGAGGCAGCAGUGGGGAAUAUUGCACAAUGGGCGAAAGCCUGAUGCAGCGACGCCGCGUGAGGGAUGACGGCCUUCGGGUUGUAAACCUCUUUCAGUAGGGAAGAAGCGAAAGUGACGGUACCUACAGAAGAAGCACCGGCUAACUACGUGCCAGCAGCCGCAGUAAGAC
rnacentral:rRNA from 1 species